rnacentral:miRNA from 18 species
AUAAAGCUAGGUUACCAAAGAUA